rnacentral:SRP_RNA from 1 species
GCCAGGUGUGGUGGUGCAUGCCUGUAAUCCCAGCUACUCAGGAGGCUGAGGCAGGAGAAUCACUUGAACCUGGGAGGCAGAGGUUGCAGUGAGCUGAGAUCAUGCCACUGCACUCCAGCCUGGGUGACAGAGUGAGACUCUGUCUCUA